GACGAACGCUGGCGGCGUGCUUAACACAUGCAAGUCGAACGGAAAGGCCCUGCUUUUGUGGGGGGCUCGAGUGGCGAACGGGUGAGUAACACGUGAGUAACCUGCCCUUGACUUUGGGAUAACUUCAGGAAACUGGGGCUAAUACCGGAUAGGAGCUCCUGCUGCAUGGUGGGGGUUGGAAAGUUUCGGCGGUUGGGGAUGGACUCGCGGCUUAUCAGCUUGUUGGUGGGGUAGUGGCUUACCAAGGCUUUGACGGGUAGCCGGCCUGAGAGGGUGACCGGCCACAUUGGGACUGAGAUACGGCCCAGACUCAUACGGGAGGCAGAAGUGGGGAAUAUUGCACAAUGGGCGGAAGCCUGAUGCAGCAACGCCGCGUGCGGGAUGACGGCCUUCGGGUUGUAAACCGCUUUCGCCUGUGACGAAGCGCGAGUGACGGUAAUGGGUAAAGAAGCACCGGCUAACUACGUG
rnacentral:rRNA from 1 species